ACACUUGCUUUGUCAGUGCACUUGCUAAAAUUGGAAACACACAGGCAAGAUUAGCACAGUCCUUGAGCAAAUAUGACAUGCAAAUCUCUGAGGAUUUUAAUGAAAUA
ensembl:snRNA U6 U6 spliceosomal RNA